rnacentral:rRNA from 1 species
UACGUAGGGUGCAAGCGUUGUCCGGAAUUAUUGGGCGUAAAGAGCUCGUAGGCGGCUUGUCACGUCUGCUGUGAAAACUCGGGGCUCAACCCCGAGCCUGCAGUGGAUACUGGCUAGCUAGAGUGCGGUAGGGGAGACUGGAAUUCCUGGUGUAGCGGUGAAAUGCGCAGAUAUCAGGAGGAACACCGGUGGCGAAGGCGGGUCUCUGGACCGAUACUGACGCUGAGGAGCGAAAGCGUGGGGAGCGAACAGG